AAAUGAAUAGACGGGCACCCGCACAAGCGGUGGAGCAUGCUGUUUAAUUCGAAGAUACGCGAAGAACCUUACCUAGAUUUGACAUCCCCGGCAAAGCUAUAGAAAUAUAGUGGAGGUUAACCGGGUGACAGGUGGUGCAUGGUUGUCGUCAGCUCGUGUCGUGAGAUGUUCGGUUAAGUCCGAUAACGAGCGCAACCCUUAUUACUAGUUACUAACAGUUCGGCUGAGGACUCUAGUGAUACUGCCGGUGAUAAACCGGAGGAAGGUGGGGAUGACGUCAAAUCAUCAUGCCCCUUACAUCUAGGGCUACAGGCGUGCUACAAUGGCCAAUACAAAGAGACGCAAUACCGCGAGGUGGAGCAAAUCUCAAAAAUUGGUCCCAGUUCGGAUCGGAGUCUGCAACUCGACUCCGUGAAGUUGGAAUCGCUAGUAAUCCUGAAUCAGAAUGUCAGGGUGAAUACGUUCCCGGGUGUUGUACACACCGCCCGU
rnacentral:rRNA from 1 species